rnacentral:rRNA from 1 species
UACAGAGGGGGCAAGCGUUGUUCGGAAUUACUGGGCGUAAAGGGCGCGUAGGCGGCCUUCUAAGUCGAACGUGAAAUCCCCGGGCUCAACCCGGGAACUGCGUCCGAUACUGGAAGGCUUGAAUCCGGGAGAGGGAUGCGGAAUUCCAGGUGUAGCGGUGAAAUGCGUAGAUAUCUGGAGGAACACCGGUGGCGAAGGCGGCAUCCUGGACCGGUAUUGACGCUGAGGCGCGAAAAGCCAGGGGAGCAAAGCGGG